rnacentral:lncRNA from 1 species
UGCAUAUACGAUAUCUCACGCUCCAAAGUUUGAUUCAACGAUCCGACGGUUAACGGGGACAAUCCAAAGGAAAAUGAAAAUGACUUAGAUUUAGGAUUCACAAGAUGAAACAAGGAUUAAAAUAGAAAAGGAUGGAUUAAAAUAGAAAAAGGUGUAUAGAAAGACUUACGUGAAAUAUAAGAGAAAAUAUAUGGUAUAUGGAUACUUGUGAGACCUAAAAUAUGUUCAAUGGACUAUUGAUGGUGAUGGUGUAUCGUCAGGGACUUGGGGAAAUCAAGAGAAUGGUAUGAGUGCCUCAAAAUUUGCGUGAGGCUUGCAUGAAGGAGGAGAUCGGUAGUUAUCCUCUUUUUUUGUUGUCACUAAGAAGGGAAUGAAUUGGGGUGAUUUGUGAACAAAUAUUAUUCAUAAGGUUUGCACCGUUAAUAGGGAUUGGAAGUAAUGAGAAGGCUACACCAAGUAUAUCCCAUGAGCUUAGGGAUUUGCUA